AGUGAACGCUGGCGGCGUGCCUAAUACAUGCAAGUCGAACGGAGUGGCGCACGGGUGAGUAAUGUAUCGGAACGUGCCCAGUAGCGGGGGAUAACUACGCGCAAGCGUAGCUAAUACCGCAUACUAUCGGAGCGGCCGAUACCGGAUUAGCUAGUUGGGGGGUUAACGGCUCACAAAGGCGACGAUCCGUAGCUGGUUUGAGAGGACGACCAGCCACACUGGAACUGAGACACGGCCCAGACUCCUACGGGAGGCAGCAGUGGGGAAUUUUGGACAAUGGGGGAAAUCCUGAUCCAGCCAUCCCGCGUGUGCGAAGAAGGCCUUCGGGUUGUAAAGCACUUUCAGCGAGGAGGCGUUACUCGAAGAAGAAGCACCGGCUAACUCCGUGCCAGCAGCCGCGGUAAUAC
rnacentral:rRNA from 1 species